UCUCAAAUCGCUCCUAACCUAAUUCCUUCUCGUACCCGAGCCUCCUCACUCGAGCAAGUCGCGCACCUUGCAUGGUGGUGAGGAUGCCUGGGCCAUGGCGACAAGGACACCCACGGCAGUAAGGACGUUGGCGGCCGCUUCAAAGCCGCCAUUGGUAAGCCUCCAGUGCUCAACAUCCUCAUCUUGGCCAAGAUCGAAAGCGACCAAAUCAAGGUUUUUUCUUUCCCCAAAUUGCAUUACAGAAUCUAAGUUUUUAAAUCCACCCAUGCGCUACCACCAUCCAUGACCUCCUCUGGAACCACAGCCUCCCCAACAAGUUAUCCCCAAGUCUGUCAAGUGUUUAUCCUACGAUGAUGCCUCCGAUCUUCUCGAGGUCCGACUCUAAGGCCCCUGCUAUGUGCACUACGAAGAUGGGCUCACCUACUUCGACAGCGAGGUGAGGGGGAACCUCAGCUACGGCACGCUCCGUAGGGUGGUUGGGUGGGCAUAGGAGGAGCUGUUCCUUAAAUUCCCUAUCAAGGGGAUCAUGGUCACCGAUCCCACCUCUGGCAUGAUCCACUUUGACAUCGGCAUCGCCCGCAAGCGCCUUGCUGCCUCUGCCUUCGACAUGCCGCCGGAAUGCCGCCCGGAAGUGGAAGAAGCGACCGUCAGAAUAGUUCCUUUGCAGAGUCAUUGCAAAUAGUUGGUGGAUUUCUUCAUCAGAGUUGAUCAUCAUAAAAAAAAUAAUUCAUAAAAUUGCCAAUGGUUGCCUUACUCAAGUUGAGGUUAAGAUCCAAGGUUUUGUUCUUAUUGCAAAGGGUUUAUUUGCAUCUUUCAAGGAUGAGGCUAUCUCUUCAUUCUCUCUGAUCACCAAAAGAAGGAACAAAAUAGAGAAAAACAAAAUUUUGAUGACUACUCUACUCAUUCUUCAUUCAAUCUUCAAUCUUGAUGUGAUGUGGUGGGUGGAAAAUUUGCUAGAGGGUUACAAUCUACAGUGAUGAGAUGUGAUGAGUGAUUCAUGUAAGGGGAGGGUGUAUGAAGUUCAACACGAUUGACACUUUGGAAGAUCAAACCACUAAAGUUUCAACAAAUUUGCUCUAAUAAGAAGAAUAAAGAAUUAUCACAAAAAGUUGAAGACAUGCAGCUACUAGCAAGAGGAUGGAGGAAGAAAUUACUAAAAGGAAAAAAAAAUUGGAAUUGUAAUGUGUGAUUGCUUUUAUCUUAAAACUAUGUGAAUAUUUAUUUAUCUCAAUGUUAAUCAUAUUGUACUUUUGGAUUUAGAAAUUA